GAAGUGUUCGGAUCGCGGCGAC
rnacentral:siRNA from 1 species